UGAAUUGACGGGGGCCCGCACAAGCGGUGGAGUAUGUGGUUUAAUUCGAUGCAACGCGAAGAACCUUACCUGGUCUUGACAUCCCGGAGACCCUUAGGAAACUAGGGGGUGCUUCCAUCUGGAAGAAUCUGGAGACAGGUGCUGCAUGGCUGUCGUCAGCUCGUGUCGUGAGAUGUUGGGUUAAGUCCCGCAACGAGCGCAACCCUUGCCUUUAGUUGCCAGCAGUUCGGCUGGGCACUCUAAAGGGACUGCCGGUGUUAAACCGGAGGAAGGUGGGGAUGACGUCAAGUCCUCAUGGCCUUUAUGACCAGGGCUACACACGUACUACAAUGGCCGAUACAAAGGGCAGCGACACUGCGAGGUGAAGCCAAUCCCGUAAAAUCGGUCUCAGUCCGGAUUGGAGUCUGCAACUCGACUCCAUGAAGUUGGAAUCGCUAGUAAUCGUGGAUCAGCAUGCCACGGUGAAUACGUUCCCGGGCCUU
rnacentral:rRNA from 1 species